UGACGGGUAGCCGGCGUGAGAGCGCGACCGGCCACAUCGGGACUGAGACACUGCCCGGACACCUACGGGUGGCUGCAGCAACGAAUAUUCCGCAAUGGGCGCAAGCCUGACGGAGCGACGCCGCGUGGAGGAUGAAGUCCUUCGGGAUGUAAACUCCAAUAGUAUGUCAGGAAGUAAUUCGGGUUAAUAUCCCGAUGCGUUGACCAGCAUACGAAAGGGGUGGCUAACCCCGUGCCAGCAGCCGCGGUAAUACGGAGACCCCUAGCGUUGUUCGGAAUCACUGGGCUUAAAGCGGGGGUAGGCGGGACGGUAAGUACUUUGUGAAAGCCCCGAGCUCAACUCGGGAAUUGCUCGGUAUACUGUCGUCCUUGAGGCAGGCAGGGGUCACUGGAACCUUAGGUGGAGCGGUGAAAUGCGUAGAUAUCUAAGGGAACGCCUGUGGCGAAAGCGGGUGACUGGGCCUGUACUGACGCUGAGACCCGAAAGCGUGGGUAGCGAACGGGAUUAGAUACCCCGGUAGUCUACGCCGUAAACGAUGCGCACUAGGUUCGAGGAUUCUGACAAUCUUCGUGCCGUAACGAAAGCGUGAAGUGCGCCGCCUGGGGAGUACGGCCGCAAGGCUAAAGCUCAAAGGAAUUGACGGGGGCUCACACAAGCGGUGGAGCAUGUGGAUCAAUUCGAAGCAACGCGAAGAACCUUACCUGGGUUUGACAUGCACGGAUGCCCUUCCUGAAAGGGGAGUAAGCUGCCUUCGGGUGAAACGUGCACAGGUGCUGCAUGGCUGUCGUCAGCUCGUGCUGUGAAGUGUCGGGUUAAGUCCCUUAACGAGCGAAACCCCUGUCGCUAGUUACCAGCGGUUCGGCCGGGAACUCUAGCGAGACUGCCGGCGUUAAGCCGAAGGAAGGUGGGGACGACGUCAAGUCAUCAUGGCCUUUAUGUCCAGGGUUUCACACGUGCUACAAUGGGGCGUACAGAGCGACGCAAGACCGUGAGGUGGAGCAAAUCGCAUAAAACGUCCCUCAGUUCGGAUUGGGGUCUGCAAUUCGACCCCAUGAAGUUGGAAUCGCUAGUAAUCGCGUAUCAGCAAUGACGCGGUGAAUGUGUUCCUGAGCCUUGUACACACCGCUCGUCAAGUCAUGGGAAUCGGGAGUUCCCGAAGUCGCC
rnacentral:rRNA from 1 species